GACGAACCGUGCGAACGUUAUUCGGAAUCACUGGGCUUAAAGCGCGUGUAGGCGGGCCGCCACGUCGGCUGCUGAAAUCCCCCGGCUCAACCGGGGAACGGGCACCGAUACGAGCGGCCUGGAGGGGGGUAGGGGGACCUGGAACUUCCGGUGGAGCGGUGAAAUGCGUAGAGAUCGGAAAGAACACCAACGGCGAAAGCACUCUGCUGGGCCGACACUGACACUGAGAGACGAAAGCUAGGGGAGCGAAUGGG
rnacentral:rRNA from 1 species